CCUACGUGUGGCAGCAGUGAGGAAUAUUGCUCAAUGGGCGCGAGCCUGAACCAGCCAAGUCGCGUGAGGGAAGACGGUCCUAUGGAUUGUAAACCUCUUUAGGCGGGGAGCAAUGCCGGGCACGCGUGCCCGCAGGGAGAGUACCCGCAGAAUAAGCAUCGGCUAACUCCGUGCCAGCCGCCGCGGUACUACGGAGGAUGCGAGCGUUAUCCGGAUUUAUUGGGUUUAAAGGGUGCGUAGGCGGAUUUUUAAGUCAGCGGUAAAAUGUCCGGGCUCAACCCGGGCCGGCCGUUGAAACUGGCGAUCUUGAGUGGGCGAGAAGUAUGCGGAAUGCGUGGUGUAGCGGUGAAAUGCAUAGAUAUCACGCAGAACUCCGAUUGCGAAGGCAGCAUACCGGCGCCCGACUGACGCUGAGGCACGAAAGCGUGGGGAUCGAACAGGAUUAGAUACCCCUGUAGUC
rnacentral:rRNA from 1 species